AGAUUCUUAAGAUUAUGGUGUCUAUAAGUGUUCAAUACUUAAAGUGGGCUUUGUCCCAGAAUCUG
rnacentral:tRNA from 1 species